rnacentral:misc_RNA from 1 species
GUUGGAGGGUCUCGUACGACAACGCAGGAGGCAUGGUCCUCAGUCAAUGAGGUGGUAGCUUGUGAAGCAACGGAAGUAAUGGUGGCCUGUGUUGAUGUGGAAGAAGGAAGAGAAAGAUCAAUGAAUUCUACAGAGUCGGUAGCCAUGAUAGAGGUUUCCAUUCCGGCCAACGGCAUCCUACGCCCCAUGUUUCUCCCUUCUUG